UACGUAGGGGGCUAGCGUUGUCCGGAUUUAUUGGGCGUAAAGAGCGUGUAGGCGGCCAAGCAGGUCCGUUGUGAAAAACUGGAGGCUUAACCUCCAGACGUCGACGGAAACCGCGCGGCUAGAGUCCGGAAGAGGAGAGUGGAAUUCCUGGUGUAGCGGUGAAAUGCGCAGAUAUCAGGAAGAACACCAAUGCGAAGGCAGCUCUCUGGGACGGUACUGACGCUGAGACGCGAAAGCGUGGGGAGCGAACAGG
rnacentral:rRNA from 1 species